AAGUUGUUGUAGUUAAAAAUAUCGUAGCUGGAUCUUGGGUUGUAAAGGUGGGUCCGCCUACUUGGUGUGCACCUGCCCUUCCGUCCCUUUUGUUUGCGGCGUGCUCUUGGCCUUAAUUGGCUAGGUCACAGUUCCGACGUCGUUAUUUUGAAAAAAAUAGAGUGCUCAAAGCAAGCUUAUGCUCUGAAUACAUUAGCAUGGAAUAAAGCGAUAGGAGUUUGGUCCUAUUGUGUUAUACUUCGAGACCAGAGUAAUGAUUAAUAGGCACUGACGGGGGAAUUCAUGUUUCAUUGUCAGAGGUGAAAUUCUUGGAUUUAUGAAAGACAAACCACUGCGAAAGCAUUUUCCAAGGAUGUUUUCAUUAAUCAAGAACGAAAGUUGGGGGCUCGAAGA
rfam:Picea glauca, whole genome shotgun sequence.